rnacentral:lncRNA from 1 species
UUUUAACCUUCUCUCUGAAAAAUAUUGUCUAAUAUAUAUUUUCCCCUUUUUGAUGCUGGGGAUUAUAUUUUCUUUUUAAUAGCUCUCUCUCUCUCUCUCUCUCUCUCUAUCUCUCUCUCUCUCUCUUAUCUAGCAAUUCUCCUUUUCUUGUAGAUGGCAUUUAAGUUCCCCCUGGCCAAGACAGGAACCUCUCUCCUUAUUGAAUAGGAUCUGAUUUCAUGCAACUUAUGACAUGCUCCUCAAUCAUCUGGGGAAAUUCCUGGAUCUGGGCUUCUCUACAUAUGUGCAGUAACUCUGCUGAGACCAGGGGAGAGGAGGGACUUUGUAUAUUCAUCUGCAGAGUGUGAAAGGCACAUAAGUGAACCAGCUUCUGCAUGACCUGCCCUUGGCAGCUGCUGGGGGUACAGGGUCAGUAGUCUCUAAGACACAGCAACAGAAAUAAAAAGGCUAAGCAUUAGUCACCUCCAAAGUCACCUUUGCCCCUUUCUCACCAUAGUGGCAGCAUGUCAUGUUGUAGAAACAGUUGUUACUCCACACCCCUCAGGAAUAAGUGUUCUCUUUCCUGGACAGUUGAGUCUUCCUAGAUAGUAACAUGAACUAGGAGGGGAAUUGACAGGUAAUGAGGUAGAUGUCAUGUUAGGUACUUCAUAUAGGUUUGCUAACCUCAUUCUUUUAACAAUCCUUUGAGGAUAGUAUUAAUACCCUCACUUUACAGAUGAGGAAGCUGAGUUUCAGGAAGGUUAAUGGCUUGCCAAGGUGAAGGCUGCUGAAUGUCAGAAUGGGGAUUUGAACCCAAGUAUGUCUAGGAGAUCUUCAUUAGAUCACUCUGAAUGUUGAAGAAAAUGGUGGCCCAUGUUCCCAGGAAACCUAAAAAUAACCAUGCUCUGUGUUAAGGACAUACCAAAGACGUGC